rnacentral:rRNA from 1 species
CCACGGCUAACUACGUGCCAGCAGCCGCGGUAAUACGUAGGUGGCAAGCGUUGUCCGGAUUUAUUGGGCUCCUUAGCGAGCGCAGGCGGUUUCUUAAGUCUGAUGUGAAAGCCUUCGGCUCAACCGAAGAAGUGCAUCGGAAACUGGGAAACUUGAGUGCAGAAGAGGACAGUGGAACUCCAUGUGUAGCGGUGAAAUGCGUAGAUAUAUGGAAGAACACCAGUGGCGAAGGCGGCUGUCUGGUCUGUAACUGACGCUGAGGCUCGAAAGCAUGGGUAGCAAACAGGAUUAGAUACCCU